AAUCAAAUCAGACCGAGAUGGAAGCAGAGACGUUCCUUAGUUUUGCUCAGAGAGAGGGACUGAAGAAGUAGUGGUACAAGGGAAGAGUGGGAGUUUGAGUAAUUCGCAUUCACAGCCAUUUAAUUGCAAUUCUGAAAUUUGAAAAGCAAAACACGUGACGUGGUUAGAGCUAGUGGUUUCAGACUCACACACACACCAUAUAUAGAUCCACCGGCCCAUAACCACAACAAACACGUACACUCUUAACACCCCUAAUUAAUUUCACCAUUCUCUCUCCUAGCCAGCCCCACCAGUCUGUCCUAGAAAUAACUCCCUCCCAUCAUACAUAGACCAAACCCUUUUCAAUUUUUUCGAUCACUACCAAAUCGAUCGAACAAUUUCUCCCAAAAAAAAAGAAAAAAAAGAAAAAAAAAGCAGUAUAUAUAGCUAGCCACUUUUACGUACUUUUAAUUCAGAGAUCGACCUUAAGAUUGAAAAUUAUGGACAGUUUUGAUUCGCAAUUAUCUAGGCAAAACUCAUUGAAGGGAAGAUGCUGGCAAGAUCAGAGGAGAUUACUCUCAGUCAUAGACAACCAUCACCACCAGUCCAGCUUCUAUAGCAGAUCAGUUGUUGUGGUUGGUACUACUAGUACUGCAGCUGCUCCACCGUCGAUAUCACCAACCUCCAUGGGUAACCUAGCUAAUAAUCUCCAAAGUUUUCCAGUAAUUGGUGGGUUUGAUGAUGAUGAUUUCAUUUCUAAAGUGGUCCCUCCGGUCACUGUUGUGCUCGAAGGCCGUGCCAUCUGCCACCGCAUCAGCCUUCAUAAGCAUGCAGGCUACAAAAGCCUCGCCAAGGCCCUCCGCCACAUGUUCGCAGUGGCCGACGCUUGUAGUACUAGUACUACUUGUGAUGAUGAUCAUCACAAUACUGAUCUUUAUCUAUCAACUGCUGUUCCCGGUCACCUCAUUGCUUAUGAAGACAUGGAAAAUGAUCUUAUUCUCGUCGGCGACCUUAACUGGAAGGAUUUUGUGACGGUAGCUAAGAGAAUUCGGAUACUGCCCGUUAAGGCACAUUCAACGAAGGGAAGAGGAGGAGUUUAAUUAUUUUAUUAGCUAAAUUGCUGCUUUCUGGUGGUGGUGGAAUUGCAAGGAAUUGAAGUAAACAAAUUAAGUUUUUGAAUGUGUUGGCCGGCCGGGAGCUCCAUCCAGGAAUUAAGUACAAGAACCAAGGUUGCGAUUCUCGUCAUGCUUGGAUGAUUGGUGGACUUGAAGAUUUUCAUUUCUUGUAAAGGUUGGCUUAAAAAGCCAUUUGUAGCCUUAUAUGUCAAAAUAUGUAUAUUUGAAUUUAAACAUGUAAUGUGUACAUGAGUACACUCCUUACAACGUAUUUGACAUGUAUGAGAAGAGGUCGGAGGCCAAUGACAUGUAUUUGUAUUCUAUGU